UACGUAGGGUGCGAGCGUUGUCCGGAAUUAUUGGGCGUAAAGAGCUCGUAGGCGGUGUGUCACGUCGGCCGUGAAAACCUGCAGCUUAACUGUGGGCGUGCGGUCGAUACGGGCAUCACUGGAGUUCAGCAGGGGAGACUGGAAUUCCUGGUGUAGCGGUGAAAUGCGCAGAUAUCAGGAGGAACACCGGUGGCGAAAGCGGGUCUCUGGGCCGAUACUGACGCUGGAGGAGCGAAAGCGUGGGGAGCAAACAGG
rnacentral:rRNA from 1 species